ensembl:lncRNA
GUGGAAACGUCAUAGACCAGGGGAGGACCGCCAUCCUACACCAGUCUGUCCUCCAGCAUGAGGCCCAUCAGUGCAGACUUAAGUGAAGGAUGUCCGAUUCACCACGCUGGUCAGCAGCCAUAGCAGAAUGGUCUGUGCUGACAUAAACAGGUGAAACCAGUGCGCGGGACAAAUAGUCAGCCAUGGUUGGAUGUCCAUCGUGAAGUCAGAAAUAGCUGCCAAAUGGCGCUGCUGGCGUGCACUCCAAGGGUCAGAAACUUUGGACAGGGCAAACGUCAAAGUUUCUCAACUCCAGACUCAAACAGAGUCCAACCCCUGGUUCCAGAGCCUGAGCCAUGUGUUGGCUAAGACUAGUCAGUAUCUCUCAACGUCCAGCACCAACUCAGGCUCCCACUCCACCUGAGAGAAUACUUGGCAUGCAGAUUGGUUGAGCCAGGGAUCGAACCACCAACCUUCCAAUCAGUAGGUGACCUGCGCUACCUCCUGGCUACAGCCACCCCACAGCCCACACCCCAAUUGUCAGGAGCCAGGAGCUUUCCUUCUCCUCUGUCACAGGUAGGGGAAGCUGUUCCCCGGGUUUAUAGCUUCUCAUGGGACGACAGUUCAGAUUGACUGAUGGAGACUUCUUGGAGACUCCAUCUGCUGGCGAGGAACAACUCUGUUAUUUAACUGGGAGUUAGAAUUACUGG